GAGGUGAAAGCAAGACAAUGAAUACCACAACAAGGUGUCUUACUUGUCGAGGGGAGGGUCGCUUAUUGUGCACAGAAUGUGAUGGAACAGGCGAGCCAAACAUUGAAGAACAGUUCUUGGAUUGGGUGGAAGAGGGAGCAA